rnacentral:rRNA from 1 species
AUUGAACGCUGGCGGCAUGCCUUACACAUGCAAGUCGAACGGCAGCACGGGAGCAAUCCUGGUGGCGAGUGGCGAACGGGUGAGUAAUGUAUCGGAACGUACCUUCCAGUGGGGGAUAACGUAGCGAAAGUUACGCUAAUACCGCAUAUUCUGUGAGCAGGAAAGCAGGGGAUCGCAAGACCUUGCGCUGAUUGAGCGGCCGAUAUCAGAUUAGCUAGUUGGUGAGGUAAAGGCUCACCAAGGCGACGAUCUGUANCGGGUCUGAGAGGAUGAUCCGCCACACUGGAACUGAGACACGGUCCAGACUCCUACGGGAGGCAGCAGUGGGGAAUUUUGGACAAUGGGCGCAAGCCUGAUCCAGCCAUGCCGCGUGAGUGAAGAAGGCCUUCGGGUUGUAAAGCUCUUUCAGCCGGGAAGAAAACGCAUGGGUUAAUACCCUGUGUGGAUGACGGUACCGGAAUAAGAAGCACCGGCUAACUACGUG